rnacentral:lncRNA from 1 species
CUGUUGUUGGGUUGCUGCCCCUGAAUUGGUAAUUUUAAGGAAAUUUUGCUGUUUUUGGUUGUUAUCUUGAAUAUUAUUAUAGAUAGAGAUAAACUGUAAACAUCAAUAAUGUUAAGCAAAGUAAGAUUUACAAAUAAGUCAACAUGACGGAAAUGGUCAAUUGACCCCUAAGGAGUUAUUGUCCUUUGUAGUCAAUUUUUAACAAUUUUCAUAAAAUUUGUAAAUUUUAACUAACAUUUUCCACUGAAACUACUGGGCCAAGUUCAUUAUAGAUAGAGAUAAUUGUAAGUAGCAAGAAUGUUCAGUAAAGUAAGAUGUACAAACACAUCACCAUCACCAAAACACAAUUCUGUCAUGAAUCCAUCUGCUUCCUUUGUUUAAUAUUCACAUAGACCAAGGUGAGCGACACAGGCUCUUUAGAGCCUCUAGUUAUAUAUAAUUAUUAAGAAUU